CACAGUUCCUCCGGACAUCUCCCGUCGGUUUUGCUCUUGCAGAAAGCGUGUGCAGAGCACGGACCAACCUGUGCAGGAAAGAUGGAAGCCAUAUCAAAAUCUGAGGAAGAGCAUUUGAACUCUCUCCACCCGCAUGUUGACCUUGAGCAAAAGGAGGCAUCAGCAUCUCCCAAGAUCUGGAAAUACCUAUCAAUUAAAGAUAUCCUCAUAGGUAUCCUUGUUUUCCUGGUCAUCGCGCUUACCAUUUCCAUUA